UGGGGAAUAUUGCACAAUGGACGGAAGUUUGAUGCAGCGACGCCGCGUGGAGGGUGUAGGCCUUCGGGUUGUGAACUCCUUUUUCUCGCGAAAAAGGCACAGUUUUGGCUGUGUUGAUGGUAGUGGGGGAAGAAGCGCCGGCUAACUACGUGCCAGCAGCCGCGGUAAUACGUAGGGCGCGAGCGUUGUCCGGAUUUAUUGGGCGUAAAGAGCUCGUAGGUGGUUCGUCGCGUCCGUCGUGAAAGCCAGCAGCUUAACUGUUGGUCUGCGGUGGGUACGGGCGGGCUUGAGUGCGGUAGGGGUGGCUGGAAUUCCUGGUGUAGCGGUGGAAUGCGCAGAUAUCAGGAGGAACACCGAUGGAGAAGGCAGGUCACUGGGCCGUUACUGACACUGAGGAGCGAAAGCGUGGGGAGCGAACAGG
rnacentral:rRNA from 1 species